rnacentral:rRNA from 1 species
UACAGAGGUCCCAAGCGUUGUUCGGAUUCACUGGGCGUAAAGGGUGCGUAGGUGGUGAGGUAAGUCGGAUGUGAAAUCUCCGAGCUCAACUCGGAAAUGGCAUUGGAUACUACUUGGCUAGAGGGUUGGAGGGGGGACUGGAAUACUUGGUGUAGCAGUGAAAUGCGUAGAUAUCAAGUGGAACACCAGUGGCGAAGGCGAGUCCCUGGACAACUCCUGACACUGAGGCACGAAAGCUAGGGGAGCAAACGGG